rnacentral:rRNA from 1 species
CGUAAAGCACUCGCAGGCGGUUUCUUAAGUCUGAUGUGAAAGCCCCCGGCUCAACCGGGGAGGGUCAUUGGAAACUGGGGAACUUGAGUGCAGAAGAGGAGAGUGGAAUUCCACGUGUAGCGGUGAAAUGCGUAGAGAUGUGGAGGAACACCAGUGGCGAAGGCGACUCUCUGGUCUGUAACUGACGCUGAGGAGCGAAAGCGUGGGGAGCGAACAGGAUUAGAUACCCUGGUAGUCCACGCCGUAAACGAUGAGUGCUAAGUGUUAGGGGGUUUCCGCCCCUUAGUGCUGCAGCUAACGCAUUAAGCACUCCGCCUGGGGAGUACGGUCGCAAGACUGAAACUCAAAGGAAUUGACGGGGGCCCGCACAAGCGGUGGAGCAUGUGGUUUAAUUCGAAGCAACGCGAAGAACCUUACCAGGUCUUGACAUCCUCUGACAAUCCUAGAGAUAGGACGUCCCCUUCGGGGGCAGAGUGACAGGUGGUGCAUGGUUGUCGUCAGCUCGUGUCGUGAGAUGUUGGGUUAAGUCCCGCAACGAGCGCAACCCUUGAUCUUAGUUGCCAGCAUUUGGUUGGGCACUCUAAGGUGACUGCCGGUGACAAACCGGAGGAAGGUGGGGAUGACGUCAAAUCAUCAUGCCCCUUAUGACCUGGGCUACACACGUGCUACAAUGGACAGAACAAAGGGCAGCGAAACCGCGAGGUUAAGCCAAUCCCACAA